rnacentral:misc_RNA from 1 species
GCAAACUUGGUCAUUUAGAGGAAGUAAAAGUCGUAACAAGGUUUCCGUAGGUGAACCUGCGGAAGGAUCAUUAAAAGUGCGGGCGACUUCUGCCCGAUCUCCACUUUCAUCCCACCUUGUGAACCCGUCCAAGUUGCUUCGGCGGGCCAGCGGGUUUUGACCCCGCCCGGCUGUCUACCGCAACGGUGGCUGGCUGGAGCGCCCGUCAGGAGACCACUUCAACUCGAUGUUUUGGUGCCUGUCUGAAGAAAAUACAAAACGUUUAAAACUUUCAACAACGGAUCUCUUGGUUCUCGCAUCGAUGAAGAACGCAGC